rnacentral:rRNA from 1 species
AGUGAACGCUGGCGGUAGGCCUAACACAUGCAAGUCGAACGGCAGCACAGGAGAGCUUGCUCUCUGGGUGGCGAGUGGCGGACGGGUGAGGAAUACAUCGGAAUCUACCUUUUCGUGGGGGAUAACGUAGGGAAACUUACGCUAAUACCGCAUACGACCUACGGGUGAAAGUGGGGGACCGCAAGGCCUCACGCGAUUAGAUGAGCCGAUGUCCGAUUAGCUAGUUGGCGGGGUAAUGGCCCACCAAGGCGACGAGCGGUAGCUGGUCUGAGAGGAUGAUCAGCCACACUGGAACUGAGACACGGUCCAGACUCCUACGGGAGGCAGCAGUGGGGAAUAUUGGACAAUGGGCGCAAGCCUGAUUCAGCCAUACCGCGUGGGUGAAGAAGGCCUUCGGGUUGUAAAGCCCUUUUGUUGGGAAAGAAAUCCUGUCGAUUAAUACUCGGUGGGGAUGACGGUACCCAAAGAAUAAGCACCGGCUAACUUCGUGCCAGCCGCCGCAGUAAAAC